GAUGAACGCUGGCGGCAGGCCUAACACAUGCAAGUCGAACGAACUCUUCGGAGUUAGUGGCGGACGGGUGAGUAACACGUGGGAACGUGCCUUUAGGUUCGGAAUAACUCAGGGAAACUUGUGCUAAUACCGAAUGUGCCCUUCGGGGGAAAGAUUUAUCGCCUUUAGAGCGGCCCGCGUCUGAUUAGCUAGGUAGUGAGGUAACGGCUCACCAAGGCGACGAUCAGUAGCUGGUCCGAGAGGAUGACCAGCCACGCUGGGACUGAGACACGGCCCAGACUCCUACGGGAGGCAGCAGUGGGGAAUCUUGCGCAAUGGGCGAAAGCCUGACGCAGCCAUGCCGCGUGAAUGAUGAAGGUCUUAGGAUUGUAAAAUUCUUUCACCGGGGACGAUAAUGACGGUACCCGGAGAAGAAGCCCCGGCUAACUUCGUGCCAGCCGCCGCUGUAACAC
rnacentral:rRNA from 1 species